CAAAGCAAUGAACACUGCCUCCUUUUAAUGAGCUGUUCUGACUUUCUGUGUUUCCAAUUUUAAUUGGAAACUUGUGCACAAAACGUUGCUAGCAGAUAAGAAUGAAGAAAUGAUGGUCUAAGCCAUACCAGCUAGGAACGUAUCCUGGACUGCUGGUGCCACUUUGAUUUUCAGCCCACAUCAGCUUUGUGGGCUGUGCAUUGACGGAUGCCUGGUUUGUGGGCUGAGCAUUGUUUUGCUUUGUGUUCUCUGGAGAACCCUUGCCUGGAUUUCCCUUCCCAGUGCUGAGUAGGUAGAGGCCCUUUUAACCCGUCUCCUUCAUGUGGUUUCACUUGUUUUCCAGCCAGGGCUCCAACCCCUGUGAACUGGCACAACCCCUCUUCUGAAACAGUUCACUGCAGCUCCCUCAGUGCUCAGCGAAACAUUGUGCAACUCACUGCAAAGCAGUACUGCUUUUUGGCUUCUGACAGUUCUGUUGGGAACUUCCUUGUUGCUGUGUUGGGAGGAAAAAAAAAAUCAUAGAUCGCUUCCUCUUAAAUUCAGCCUUACGUUUCACUGUGCUGCUGUUAGGGCUGAAGGAGCUGCUGCCUGUGGAGCUGCACAGCCUCUUGAGUGACUUGGAGUGAAUAGCCAGAAGUUGUUACAGGCUUUGCACCAGCAUCCUAGGAGGAUGUUAAACUGCUUGCCUGAAAAAGGGCACGCUGAUAACAAAUGCCUUCUGUGCACUGAAUACUGAGGAGCAAGUGUUGAGAAGGGGAAAAUCAGUGAAUGCAGAAUAUGGAGUUCAUGCUCAGCUUUUGUGUUGGUAAUUUCAGGGCAUUGAAGCUGGAGUCUUUGUGCUCUGAACCCAAAUGGUGGUUUUUAUCUCUUGGUUUUUGCAUUGCUCACUGAAAUUUACUUCCCUGUUACUGUUCAUUUAUGUGCAGUCAUCUCAGAGAUCCCAUAGAUCAGUGUCUCUUCUUUCCUGUUCAUAGAAUUAUGGAAUCUGGAAGAGACCUCUAAAAUCACCCAGUCCAACUGCUGACCCAUUGUAGCAGAAAUGCUAAGUCACAGCUUGAAGCAGUGAUUGAGCACCUGGUGGGAUUGCAGGGCCAACCCAGGGGAGCUCAGGUGCAAGCAGUGCACUGAGUGACCAGAAGGGGUGGAGCCAGGAUCCUUCUUAUCCCUUCAUUUAAGGGUUGGCAGCAAAGGUGAGGGUAUUUUGCUGUAGAUCCUUGCCUACUAAAGGUCUUCUGAAGGACGCCCAGCUCUCCCAUUGCUGCAGGUGACCUGUUCUGGCAAAGCAGUUGGGGAAUGCCUCUUGUCAGCACUUGGCAGAGCUGUGUCUGUUUUGAUGAUGUCUUAUGUGUGACCACCAGCAGGGAGAAAGUGACAGAUGGAAUUUCGUUCAUUCAUCUUUGCUCUCAAGGAAUGCCUGCUUCAACAGCGGAAGAAGGGCAUAACAUCUGAAACCCACCAGCCUGGCCUAGGAUUGGAAGGGAGCCACACAGAAAACGAGGAGCUACAUUUAAGCUGAACCUACGUAGAAAGACCACAAAAUGCUUGGUUUGGCUGGUUUACCUUGGAGCCCUGCACCAAGAAGAGCAGUAUAACAGAAAAGGGAGAGACUGUCACCUUUGCCAAGGUCUGGAUUUGUUUAUGUAAGCCGCAUUUAAGGGACAAGGGCAGGGCCUGUGUCUUGUCACUUCUGGAGAUAGCGCUGCUGUAGAUACGUGAUUUUCUGUCAACCUGUUUUUCUGUUUAAUUAUUGGUGAAGCUGUUUACCGAGACUAGCUGGCCUUAGUUAAGUGUCUGGUUUGGAUUUGUCAAGGAUUCUUGUAUUAUUUACAAAACAGGUUUUGACACUAAGGGUAAAAAAUAAGUGCAGAUUAUCUUUUCUGAACCACUUUUUCUGAAACCCUGUUAAAGCAUCAUUCAAAGCAUUUUCCAGCCCUCAUUCCUUUCAAAGAGACUUUUCCUUACAACCUUCUAGACACUGACAGUUUGGUUUUUCAAUUCCCGUCCAAUAACCUCGGGAUCUCCCAGGUCUGGAUGACAUUUUCCCCUGCCUCUAUCAGCACCAGGAGCUGGGAAUUAUGCAUCAACAAAGGCAACAGUCAUCUUCCGAAGGCUUUGCCUUGUGAGAGUCCUAAUAAAUCUAGACCUGAUACAGCUUUUUCUGAAUUCCUUCCCCAAGGAUCAAGCAGAGAAAGCACGUGGUAUGACAGAUGAUGACAUCAUACAUGAGGACUGGGCUCUGAUUUUCAGUGUGACAGUGUGUGGGGUAGUACUGCCAUCCAGUACUGCCAGAUGGUAAUAAUGCCAUCUGGUUUAGGAAAGGGCUGCAGUAGUUAAGCAGUGAAGUUUGCAUCUGGCAUAUGAUGACCUAGGUUUGCCUGGGAGGCAUUUCAGGGGUGAUGUUAAGUAUCUGGGAAGAAAAUCCUCAAAUAAAAUGUGUAACUCAUGGGGGAACAUAUCCUACUAAUUCAUGAGAUAUACUUGAGC